rnacentral:rRNA from 1 species
UACGUAGGGGGCUAGCGUUGUCCGGAAUCAUUGGGCGUAAAGCGCGUGUAGGCGGUCCGGUAAGUCCGCUGUGAAAGUCGGGGGCUCAACCCUCGGAUGCCGGUGGAUACUGUCGGGCUUGAGUACGGAAGAGGCGAGUGGAAUUCCUGGUGUAGCGGUGAAAUGCGUAGAUAUUGGGAGGAACACCAGUGGCGAAGGCGGCUCACUGGACCGGAACUGACGCUGAGGCGCGAAAGCGUGGGGAGCAAACAGG